CCUCGUGGUGCUGAAGCACAUCUGUUUGUUUCACUGAUGAUGUUUGCAUGCAUACCCAGGAUUGUGGCUAUGCCCAUUAAAAAAAAAAAAACAAACAAACAUUGAAACAAACAUCUUUGAAGCGUCACAGUGAAAAUAUGGUUUUGUCAUGUGUUAUAAAGUGUGUGGUUUUUUUUUUUGAGGACCGGAUCCGCUUUCUGAAGACUCACUUAAAGGAAUGGAGCUUGGUACAAAGUGAACGGGAGAUUAUGUAAUGACUGGCAGGAGGAGCUAGAACUGGGGUAGAAAAGAAAGUGAAGUAAAACACAAGGUGAGUAGACAGAACGCAGAGGAGGUGAAAAGCACACAGACAGCCACUAAGAGAGUCAGGAAGACAGAAAAUCCAUCCUGCUGUGGAGAUUGCCUCCUGACAGACACAAGAAAAAAAAUAAAGUCCACUGAAAAGCUGAUGCAGGCAUUAUGAAGAGACAAGAAUGAUGAAUAAGAGCCAAAUCAUCUGGCACAAGUGUGGAAAGCUACACUUUAGAAAAUAAUACCACCAAACAGAGGCUUCUUACAACCUCAGCUUUCACAGGAUGUUUUCUGCUGCUUUCCCAAAAGUUCCGUAUUUCAGUGGACAUACCUCUGUUUUUCAUAUUGAAGCAAAUUAAGAAUUGUUUGAGCGCCAAAGUAAGUAGAACCAGAUCUCCAGCUGGUUCUAAAAUGGACCUAUACUGAGGCGUGGCAACCUGGAGUCUCGGAGCAAAAGCAGUGCAGCAAAAAACCCAGAUACCUUAUCAAGUUGUAUUGCAUCGUUGAUGCCACCUUGAAAGAACAGAGCAUCCCCACCUGAAUUCACAACGCACCAAACACACUGCUGCACAGAGCAGGAGGAAGGAGGGAAAGGAGAUGGGCGAAAAGAGGUGAUCUGUAACCUCCUCCCCCUCACCGAUGUCAUGUAAUGAAAUCUUCAGCACCUGUCCCUUAGUUUUAUGCUACGUCUCAUUCUGCAGAAACAUCAGAAAACCUGGCACCUGUAGAUGAAAAAUCUCCAUCAAAGUGUACGGACAAACUUUUCUGAAAAAGGGCCGGAAUUUCAUCUGAACUGUUCUUUCACAUGCUGUACAAAUAAGAAUGACGCUGCGGAACUACCUGAAGGGGUUUGGCGGAGCUGAGCUCCAGAGGUCACUUUAAUCUGUAUUGAGUGGGGAAGGAGUGGGAGAAGGAAGGGCACACGCCUUCAGAACACUGCCAGACCUCUUUAAACUCCGAUGGUAUCAUCGCUGACCCGACACCCUUAUUCUCCCCACGGUUUGUAAUGCCCCCGCAGCCCAGCGAGUGUGAAAUUAAAUGAUGAAAUAUUGGAUUAUUUGGGUCCGUUGUGUUCUACUCUACUGGCACUGUUCUUUUCCCGUUCUGUCUCCUGAUUUCCCACUCCUAGAGCUGAAGGGGAAGAAGGGGAAAGAAACUCUGAUAAUAUAA
ensembl:lncRNA